rnacentral:rRNA from 1 species
GCACGAGCGCACCCCUGUUCUUAGUUGCCAGCGAGUAAUGUCGGGGACUCUAAGAAGACUGCCGGUGAAAGUCGGAGGAAGGUGGGGAUGACGUCAAGUCCUCAUGCCCUUUAUAUCUCGGGCUACACACGUGCUACAAUGGCUGAUACAAAGGGGAGCAAAGCUGCGAAGUGGAGCAAAUCCUAUAAAAUCAGUCCCAGUUCGGAUUGCAGGCUGCAACUCGCCUUGCUAUGAAGUUUGGAAUCGCUAGUAAUCGCAGGUCAGCAUACCGCGG